rnacentral:rRNA from 1 species
CCAAUAGCGUAUAUUAAAGUUGCUGCAGUUAAAAAGCUCGUAGUUGAAUUUCGGGAUCAAUUUGUCGGUCGUGCCUCGGUACGUACUGGCUUAUUGGUUUCUCCCUUCUGACGAACCAUGAUGUCAUUUAUUUGGUGUUGUGGGAAAUCAGGACUGUUACUUUGAAAAAAUUAGAGUGUUUAAAGCAGGCUCACGCUUGAAUACAUUAGCAUGGAAUAAUGAAAUAGGACGUUUGAUUCUAUUUUGUUGGUUUCUAGGAUCGACGUAAUGAUUAAUAGGGAUAGUUGGGGGCAUUAGUAUUCAAUUGUCAGAGGUGAAAUUCUUGGAUUUAUUGAAGACUAACUACUGCGAAAGCAUUUGCCAAGGAUGUUUUCAUUAAUCAAGAACAAAAGUUAGGGGAUCGAAGACGAUCAGAUACCGUCGUAGUCUUAACCAUAAACUAUGCCGACUAGGGAUCGGAUGAUGUUAAUUUUUUAAUGACUCAUUCGGCGCCUUACG